rnacentral:tRNA from 1 species
AUUCAUAAAGUUUAAAAUUAAACAUUUUAUUUUCGUUAAAAAAAUUGACUAACAGGUCUAUGAAUU